rnacentral:rRNA from 1 species
UACGAAGGGGGCUAGCGUUGCUCGGAAUCACUGGGCGUAAAGGGUGCGUAGGCGGGUCUUUAAGUCAGGGGGUGAAAUCCUGGAGCUCAACUCCAGAACUGCCUUUGAUACUGAAGAUCUUGAGUUCGGGAGAGGUGAGUGGAACUGCGAGUGUAGAGGUGAAAUUCGUAGAUAUUCGCAAGAACACCAGUGGCGAAGGCGGCUCUCUGGGACGGUACUGACGCUGAGACGCGAAAGCGUGGGGAGCGAACAGG